AUUGACGCUGUUGUUCCUAUCAUUGCUCAUCGUAUUCGCGGCGCUCUUCAGGCGUCCUAACUGGGUGGCUUACUUUGGGCAGGAACCACUGCAUCCUGCCUUGCCUGAGCACGACGCCGUUGUUCAUAUUGAUGUUGCUGUUCCCGUCACCGCUCAUCGUGUUCACGCUGCUCUUCGAAAAGCUGGGCGGCUGAUGCACGCAGAGGUGCUUGUAGGACAUGACACGAGAUCUACGCUGCUGUCAUCAAGGGAGCGGUUGAAAUCGAGAAUAUUCUUUAAGGGCAAGGCGGGCACUGGGUCAGCACCCGGGUGAGCUGGCCUCUUUACAACCGCCCGCAUAGGUUUCUUGCAACCUUGCCGGCAAAUGACCUCAGCCUCGUCAAAGAGAGCUUGCGGGUGACAUUGUGACCAAAGCCGAGGAUGGGGCUCAAGUGGUAGCCUCUUAGGAGUAUGCACGAGCUAACACACACCCUAUGUGCUGCUCCGCAAGAUUAUUCGGAAGCCUUGCCGGCGACAUCUUAAGCCACCCCAGAACAAGGAACAGACGGCAGUGCCCACAGGAAGCGGCCACAUGCAUCUGCUAUUGACAGAGUGGCUCAACUCUUUGAAGUUGAAUCUAAACAAGCCAAUAAAAUAGCUAAGGAGCUAAGGCUUGCGAAGAAAGCACAGCUGCAGGAAGAGUCUAAUGAUCUUCAGAGAAACCUCGUUUCUAUUC